rnacentral:rRNA from 1 species
AAUCUUGCGCAAUGGGCGAAAGCCUGACGCAGCCAUGCCGCGUGAAUGAUGAAGGUCUUAGGAUUGUAAAAUUCUUUCACCGGGGACGAUAAUGACGGUACACGGAGAAGAAGACCCGGCUAACUUCGUGCCAGCAGCCGCGGUAAUACGAAGGGGGCUAGCGUUGCUCGGAAUUACUGGGCGUAAAGAGCGCGUAGGCGGACAUUUAAGUCAGGGGUGAAAUCACAGAGCUGAACUCUGGAACUUCCGUUGAUACUAGGUGUCUUGAGUGUGAGGGAGGUAUGUAGAACUCCGAGUGUAGAGGUGAAAUUCGUAGAUAUUCGGUAGAACACCAGUGGCGAAGGAGACAUACUGGCUCAUUACUGACGAUGAGGCGCGAAAGCGUGGGGAGCAAACAG